ACUUUUCUGUUCUAAAGUAAAUCCUCUUUAGAUUCAAGAUCAUUUUGAUUAAUUAGAAGAUAAUUAUCCAUUUGCUGACUAAACAAUAGUUUCUUCUGUUGAAACCAAGCAAUAAUAUCUUCUUGCUCAUCAUCUUUCAUAUGCUGGCAGCAGAUCUUACGUACAUACUGAGAAAAAGGUUUGGUCCCUCUGGGAGUGCAUGCGGUGGAGGAAGCAAACGCGCUCAUUUGAGAAGGGUGAUUUCAAUGCUGCACACAUUACUUCAGGUAUGUGCAAGUCAAAUACCCACUGACCUGAGGCAGUCAUGGUUCAGACAGCCCAGCAUGGUUUCCUGCCUACUGUGACCUGGCAUAGCCCAGGACAGCGCGAGGUUUCUGGCCGCCACUGCUUCCCUAGGAGUGGAAACUUAAGGCUGGUGAUAAAAGGAAAGAAAUGUUGCCAUUCAGAGCUAGCUUCUUGAAAUCAUGAAACAAGAUUCCUUCUCAUGGGACAUCCCUGCAGGUUUUCUGGACUAUGAGACUUCAAAACGUCCAUCUGGGUCUUCUUGGCUGGCUGAUGGCACUGCAAGUAUCAAUUUUAUUCAGAAUCUGCAAGCUCAGGGAAGAUGCUUUUAGAGGCACCACAGAAAAUGUGUAUUCCAAAAACAUUUGUUUGUACUCUUGAGCUUUAGAGAAACAGAAAAUAUCAGUUUCCGUGUGACUCAGGUGGUCUGUGCAGGAAAGCUGCUGCAUGAGGUGCUGCAGGCUGUUGCUGAGUUCCCAGGCACUGAGGGGACCUUGUACUCCCACUGCCCACAGUAAGAAGAACAUGGUCUGUGCUGGAGAAGACCAGGCCUGCAACAGACAAAAAUAAAACUUUUGUUUUCCUAUUUCAUGAACUUCUACAAAAUUAAGAGUUCAGCCUUGAGAAAAUUACACUGGCAAAAUCUUCUCUGUUGUGAGCAGGAUCUUGCUGUCUUCACUCAAGAAGUUUCAUAUCCUGGCCCUAGCUUGCAUCGUUAAAGAAAUCUGGACAUUUCCUAGAAGCCUGAAGGUUUUUGGCUACUAGAAACGCUAGAGAUUUCCUCAUGCUAAG